rnacentral:rRNA from 1 species
CCAGACUCCUACGGGAGGCAGCAGUGGGGAAUAUUGGGCAAUGGGCGCAAGCCUGACCCAGCAACGCCGCGUGAAGGAAGAAGGCUUUCGGGUUGUAAACUUCUUUUAAGAGGGAAGAGUAGAAGACGGUACCUCUUGAAUAAGCCACGGCUAACUACGUGCCAGCAGCCGCGGUAAUACGUAGGGGGCAAGCGUUAUCCGGAUUUACUGGGUGUAAAGGGAGCGUAGACGGCAGUGCAAGUCCGGAGUGAAAGCCCGGGGCUCAACCCUGGGACUGCUCUGGAAACUGUAAAGCUGGAGUGCGGGAGGGGCAGGCGGAAUUCCUGGUGUAGCGGUGAAAUGCGUAGAUAUCAGGAGGAACACCGGCGGCGAAGGCGGCCUGCUGGACCGUAACUGACGUUGAGGCUCGAAAGCGUGGGGAGCAAACAGGAUUAGAUCCCCUGGUA